GCUCAAUCUACUCAAUGGAGUGGUCUUCACUAGGGUUGGGCCAAAAACAGUUUAUACUAUGACAUUGUGAAGGCAGUGUUUAAGAUGUCCUCCAGACUAGCUUAAAAAGUUGUACAUCCUUGUCAUGCAAAACCAUCAUAUCUAAUUUUACAAAUGGUGAAAAUAUUGAAGUGGAAUGUGCUAUUAUCAAUUUAUUUUGACAUUUAUAUUUUGUUAAUUAUCUU